CAAAUCUAGGCUUGUGACACCCCAAUAAUCCCACAUCGGAUGGGAAUGGGGUUGUCAUUGGGUUUAUAAGAGACUUAGACACUAGUAAUAAUAACUGGGCUUAAGCAUUUUGGGCCGGUUGUUGAGCCCAACGAGUUAUUGUUGCUAGUGGGCUGGGUCGUUACAUUUGGUAUCAGAGCCAGGUUCACCAGCUGGACAUGUGUGGCGAGUCUCGGCUGAGCCAGGGUCUGGAUGACAGGCUAGCGAGACGAGUCUCACAUAGCCUGGUGAUCUUGGGCUGUGUGUGUUUGGACUGACGAGGACGUCAGGGCCUUAACGGGGGGAGUAUGUGAUCCCACAUCGGAUGGAAAUGGGGUUGUCAUUGGGUUUAUAAGAGACUUAGACACUAGUAAUAAUAACUGGGCUUAAGCAUUUUGGGCCGGUUGUUGAGCCCAACGAGUUAUUGUUGCUAGUGGGCUGGGUCGUUACAAGGCUUUUGUCAAGUAGAUGACUAGGCAAAUAUUGAGCAGCUCCUUCAUAGACAACAAUUUAUAGCCAUAAUUAUUUUGUAAAGGGGGCUUUAUUAUGAUCUAAUCUUUUUGAUGUAUGAAAUUGAGCUAAUGUUCUAAAAAUCUUUUUUUUCGUUCGGUUAUGUAUUGUGUUUUCAACUACUAUUUUCUUAUUUGCUCCUGCCAUAUUUUAGUACUGAUUCCUUAUAAAUUUUUUUGUGAUAUUCUGUAUUCUCGAAUAGGCUACUGUGCUAUUAGGAGCACAACAGUUCUUGUGCUUUUAACUUCCUAAACAUUCAUCAAUUUCUUUUCUCUUUGAAUUUUUUCUCAAUUUAUCUUCUCUCUUAUCCUAACCAUUCAUCAAAAUUAAUAAAUGAUAGUAAGUUAGGAGCACAAAGGCGAUUGUGCUAUCUUUUUUUGUUCUUGCUAUUUUAUUGGGUUG
rnacentral:lncRNA from 1 species